GGUAAGAAGGGGGACGUUUACAAGCCUAGGUUUUAUGUCGACAUACUCCGCUGAUCAUCUUCACCACACACGGGAACGUAUACCUACCUAUAUUCGAUAUUAUGCAUAUUUACUAUAAUUUAUUAGCCGUUGUAUCACCUUAUAUGCAGGUACACGGCCAUUAUAUCUCUGGGACAAAAAAAAAAUUAACUGUAGUCCAACAAACAGAAAUGCCGUGAGUCCGCGCGUCGUGACUUAUUUUAUUUCAAGUCGAGAACAAGGUAGCUAAGUUCCAUGCUUAUUGUAGUCAGUAUACUAUAAACAAAUUGAAGCAUAUUUUUUCAUUGUAAUUUUUAAGGAUUAACCGAAUUUUCUCUAUAAUAAUAAUUUUUAAUAACUACUGAUGAAAAAAAAGAAGUCAUAAGUGUU